UGUAUAUCUGCAUGUGUAUCAGUGUGUCUGUGCAUCUGCAUUUGUGUCAGUACAUGAAUCAAACACUGGCACACAUGCAGAUACUGACAUACAUACAGAUGCACAGACACACUGAUACACACACA